rnacentral:rRNA from 1 species
ACAUCGGAACGUACCCUGGAAGUGGGGGAUAACGCCGCGAAAGCGGCGCUAAUACCGCAUAUGCUCUGAGGAGGAAAGUGGGGGACCGCAAGGCCCUCACGCUCUGGGAGCGGCCGAUGUCCGAUUAGCUAGUUGGUGAGGUAAAGGCUUACCAAGGCGACGAUCGGUAGCUGGUCUGAGAGGAUGAUCAGCCACACUGGGACUGAGACACGGCCCAGACUCCUACGGGAGGCAGCAGUGGGGAAUUUUGGACAAUGGGGGCAACCCCUGAUCCAGCCAUGCCGCGUGAGUGAAGAAGGCCUUCGGGUUGUAAAGCUCUUUUGGUCGGGAAGAAAGUGCCCUGCUUAAUACGCGGGGUAUUUGACGGUACCGGCAGAAUAAGCACCGGCUAACUACGUG